CUACGGGUGGCAGCAGUGGGGAAUAUUGCACAAUGGAGGAAACUCUGAUGCAGCAACGCCGCGUGGAGGAUGACACUUUUCGGAGCGUAAACUCCUUUUAUAUAGGAAGAAGAUGACGGUACUAUAUGAAUAAGCGCCGGCUAACUCCGUGCCAGCAGCCGCGGUAAUACGGAGGGCACAAGCGUUACUCGGAAUCACUGGGCGUAAAGAGCGUGUAGGCGGAUUGAAAAGUCAGAAGUGAAAUCCUAUAGCUUAACUAUAGAACUGCUUCUGAAACUCUUAAUCUAGAAUAUGGGAGAGGUAGAUGGAAUUUCUGGUGUAGGGGUAAAAUCCGUAGAGAUCAGAAGGAAUACCGAUUGCGAAGGCGAUCUACUAGAACAUUAUUGACGCUGAGACGCGAAAGCGUGGGGAGCAAACAGGAUUAGAUACCCGCGUAGUC
rnacentral:rRNA from 1 species